GCCAUACCUAAUACAAACCCUAGCACGAAAAAUACCAGACACCUAUAGAACAACUUCUUCCUGGAUAUAUAAUUUUUUCGAGAAUUCAGUAGCGAGCUUUUGCCAUUGAGAACGAGCUUAUGAGAUGGCGAUUGAACUGAAUAUUGGUUUCCGUUCUGAUAAUGCCGUUCGUUACUCGGUGAUAGAGUUCUCCGGAUCGACGCCAUCGAUUAACCAAACUGCCCAAUUACAUCAACAGAUACGCAAGUUCCACGCUUUUACACACAAUGAAUCAACGAAUCAACAAAAGGCACGAAAUGCACGAAUAUUCAACUAGAGUCUACAGUAGAACAAAUGUGCAGAAGAUCAUACCAG
rnacentral:misc_RNA from 1 species